rnacentral:lncRNA from 1 species
UCUAAUCAUCUUCCAUGAGACUAAGCUUUGCUUUAGUUUCCUAAAAAAGACCUGAGAGUGAGAGAUGACUUUGAAUUGGCUUGGCUUCAACUCUCAAUUUCUUUCACUCCACAAAUUUCAUCCUAUUCUCACCAAAAGAUUAUUUGGACAGGAGAUUAGCUGUUCCACCCUAAGUCUUGCUUCUUUUCCUCAAUUCCUCCUUCAUUUCAAGCUCUACUGCUGCACUAUCGCCAUGUGUCAUUAGAGUUGGUAAAGUACUUGUCUAUUCCUUGUUUUACUUUCUAAUUUCAUCUUUAAUCAUUCUAUUCCAUUUCUUUUUCUUCUUAAUUUGUUUUUAUGUAUGUUCUUAUCACUCUAAGCAUAUUAUAAUCAUUUAUAUAUAUAUAUAUAUAGAGAGAGAGAGAGAGAGAUGGAGAAAUAAAAUUGUAAAUGUUAAAGAUGAAAUCUCAAUUUUGCAAAUCGUUUCUUUCUUUUUCUCUCGUUUCUUUUUACUAUCUUCUUCCUCAUUACAUAUGUAUAACUAGAGCAAUGCCUUAUUUCUUUUGAAUGGGAUCCUUCUUUACUGAUCAUAUGCUUCAUUUCCAUCUCAUAGGUUAGGAGAGAGAUUGCUCCAUCAACUUAUCUGGCUUCAAGCUGUAAGUCUUGACUCUUGAGAUCUUUGGCCUCUUCAUUAUAUAUGGAACUUGGGAUCUCACCAUUUGGAAAGGGAUAUAAUCUUAUAUCUUCUUGACCAUCUU